AGUUUAUAAGUAUAAGUCUCCGCCACCACCAGUUUAUAAGUACAAGUCACCACCACCACCACCUCCCGUCUAUAAAUCCCCACCACCACCCGUUUACAAGUAUAAAUCUCCACCACCACCUGUCUACAAGUACAAGUCUCCUCCACCACCACCUCCAGUUUACAAAUACAAAUCUCCACCACCACCUGUCUAUAAGUACAAGUCUCCUCCACCACCACCUCCAGUUUACAAAUACAAAUCUCCACCACCACCUGUCUAUAAGUACAAGUCUCCUCCACCACCACCUCCAGUUUACAAAUACAAAUCUCCACCACCACCUGUCUAUAAGUACAAGUCUCCUCCACCACCACCUCCAGUUUAUAAGUACAAAUCUCCACCACCACCCGUAUAUAAGUAUAAGUCUCCUCCACCACCACCCCCAGUUUACAAGUACAAAUCUCCACCACCACCUGUCUAUAAAUACAAGUCUCCACCACCACCAACUCCGGUUUAUAAGUAUAAAUCUCCACCACCACCGGUCUACAAGUACAAGUCUCCACCACCACCAACUCCAGUUUACAAGUACAAAUCUCCACCACCACCUGUCUAUAAAUACAAGUCUCCACCACCACCAACUCCGGUUUAUAAGUAUAAAUCUCCACCACCACCGGUCUACAAGUACAAGUCUCCACCACCACCAACUCCAGUUUACAAGUACAAAUCUCCACCACCGCCUGUCUAUAAGUACAAAUCUCCACCACCACCAACUCCAGUUUACAAGUACAAAUCUCCACCACCACCCGUUUAUAAGUACAAGUCUCCCCCACCACCCGUCUACAAGUACAAGUCUCCACCACCACCCGUUUACAAAUACAAGUCUCCACCACCUCCAGUCUACAAGUACAAAUCUCCACCGCCACCCGUCUACAAGUACAAGUCUCCACCACCUCCAGUCUACAAGUACAAAUCUCCACCGCCACCCGUCUACAAGUACAAGUCUCCACCACCUCCAGUCUACAAGUACAAAUCUCCACCGCCACCUGUUUACAAGUACAAAUCUCCUCCACCACCUCCUCCAGUUUACAAGUACAAGUCACCACCACCACCAGUUUACAAAUACAAGUCACCACCACCACCCGUUUACAAAUACAAAUCACCCCCACCCCCAGUUCACAAGUCUCCAGCCCCUUACUAUUACACUUCUCCAC
rnacentral:lncRNA from 1 species